GUCUUCGUGGUGCAAUGGUCAGCAUGCUCGGCGCAUAUUCUAGAGGGCCGUGGUUCGAAUCCCGGCGAGGGCA
rnacentral:tRNA from 1 species